UACAGAGGGUGCGAGCGUUAAUCGGAAUUACUGGGCGUAAAGCGUGCGCAGGCGGUUCGGAAAGAGAGGGGUGAAAUCCCAGGGCUUAACCUUGGAACUGCAUUUGUGACUGCAUCGCUGGAGUGCGGCAGAGGGGGAUGGAAUUCCGCGUGUAGCAGUGAAAUGCGUAGAUAUGCGGAGGAACACCGAUGGCGAAGGCAAUCCCCUGGGCCUGCACUGACGCUCAUGCACGAAAGCGUGGGGAGCAAACAGG
rnacentral:rRNA from 1 species